UUUAGAGGAGAUGCCAGGGAUGUUGGUUUUUAAUAACUUAGAAAACAUCUAUGUUACAGCCAUACUACACACGGUACAGUACAACAUGGAAAACAAAGACAGAUGCAUUCACACCCAGCUGUGCCCAUUCCUCAUCCAAGUCCCCUCAUGGGCUCAUUAUCUGGUUCAAAUGUGAUCCAAAAUGUACGAUUUCACUUAGGACCACAGAAUAAGGACCCUGUUUCCUAUCCACUGUGAUGAGGACUCAAUACUGAAUUAUAGAACCUAACAAAUCAGACUAACUCCCGUUUGUAUGAUGUUAUGAUUCACUAGAAUUACAUGAAAUGCAAAUAGACCUUGUUACCAAAACCAGGGCGCUGGUACAUAUUUGUGUUGUGUCCUGUAAAACUCAGCAUAACACAUGACUGUAUAUAAUGCCAUACAAAUGUUAAGAAGACUGGAUAUAAUGCCAAGGUUUUGAAUAAAUGCCCCUCUUUUAAAGUAGUAAUUGUAAAAUAAUCUAAACUACUAGAGGAUUUCAACUUGGACACUCAUUUAUCAAACAGCAAAUCACUUUGCCAUUCUGGCUAUAGACUUCCAUUUUAAAACUGAAAGGCAAGAAUUAAUUCUUUAUGAAAUAACCCCAGGGCCUGAACUUUAAAGAAUGUUACACCUGCAAUUUAACAUUGUCCACACUCAUAAUCUAUAGCCUACACAUGUGUUUCUGAAGCAUAAUUUCUGAGGUGUGUGUGAAAUGCUUCAUCUUGAGUCAAAAAGUAAAAGAUCCAAAUGAUGUAGGAAUAGAUAAGAAAGGACAUAAUUUUAGUGUAAUUCAGAAACAGAUCUUUGUUUCACUCUGGGAGGACCAAAUCAUAAAAUAAUCAUAAUCGAAUAAAUCAAGAUAAAGGCAUGUUGUUUUAUGAUUUACAAAGGAACAUUUUCCAAGUGAAAAAAAAACAAUCAGAAAAUCGAAUCUUGAGUCCACGCUGUUAGAGGAAGCCUCAGAUUACACAAGCUACCAUGUUAUUAUUUUUAAGUCAAAAAAGUAUUUUAACUGUUUCUUUCUGUUAAUCCGUCAUCACCGUUGAAAGAAGAGGAUGAAGAAUGGGCACCGUUCAUUAUAUUUUAGACACAUGUUGCGCCGUCCAGAAGCCACUGGCACUCAUAGCAAACAAAAAAAAAACGAAACAUAAUAAACGACGGAAGUGGUGGGUGGAACAGCGGGUGACCCCCCCCCCCCUUUUAACCCAAACAUCACAGCAUCAUCCAACCUCCUCACCUUCAUAUAGAAAAUAGAACACUAUAUCUUACAAGAAACAGAAACAUCUAAUAUGGUACAAGAAACAUCAUACAGGCCAAGUAUGUACAGGCUUAUGGGGACCGACACAACCUUAUGGGGACCGACCAAGGGCCUUGGGACACACAUGCCAAGUUUGUACAAGCUUAUGGGGACACAGGGCCCAGGGACAGAAACGCCUCAUGGGGUCCAAACUAGGGCUCUCAGACACACAGACCAAAUAUACACAGGCUAAUGCGACUGACCAUAAGUAUGUACAGGCUUACACGAGGACCGACCACGGUCCCGGUAAGAAUAUACAGGGUUAUGGAGGCCCUGGACGAUGUGGGUAACCUGGUCCUACCAGACCUACGUUGGCCCCACAAUCACAUUGAUCUUCCACAGAUUGUUUGACCCCAGUCUUCACUCUGAUGGCCCCAGGAUGUAGGAGUUGUUCAUUCGUGUUUACCCACAAAAAAUGGCGAUUUCUCACUUCAAAUAUCAAGUUUUGUAUUAAUGUGUGUUAUUGUCAGGAGUAUACAACUAAUAAUAAUAUUAAAAAAAAACAGGAGUCAUUAGUGUUAGAUUAGAGUAUUUGAAAUCAUAAAAACAAACAAUAACCCAAACAGCUGUUGGUCUAACCUGCAGGAGGCUGCAUCAUGAGCCGAUACAAAGGAACAACAGCGACACCUAGAGGCCAUGUUACACUCUCAUUAAGGUAAGGAGGCGGAGACACUAUUUACCAAUGUACUCGGGUUUUGGAAUGUAGCCAACUAGUAGACAUUCAAACCCCCCCUCUCUCUCGCACACUCUUCUAAACCAACAGGACUCCGCCAUUCAACUGCUACUAGCCAGAUGUGUCUGACAUGUUUAGCCUUUAGUUGGGGGCUUUACAGCAGUGUGUGUUGAACGUUGGGCUGCCUCUUUAGUAUUCUCCUCACACCUGUAGGAGUCAGGGAUCGAACCAUUAACUCUUUGUGGGCAUUCGGUUCUUGGGGCUGACGCUGAGAUAAAUAUACAGGAGACAUAAAGACACUGGCUGUUGGUUUGGCUCUGUGUUUCUGUUGCUUGUGUGUGCGCGUGUGUGUAUUGUGCCUGGUUGCUUGUGGUGUUUAUGCGUUGUGUGUCGUUCUGGACUUCAACCACUUUUCUUCAGUUUUCCAGAUCGACACGCUUGUCAGAGUACGUCGUGUCAGUUAUUUUACGAUCAUGUGAGUGAACCGCACUCUACUGGAGAGCGAGGUAGAGGGAGAGAGACAGAGGGAAGAGAGAGAGAGAGAGAGAGUGGGGACAGAGAUUGAAAUGAGGGAAAGACAGAAGGAUAGAGAAAGAGAGAUGAGGGAGAAAGAGAAAGCGAGGGGCACGUGUCGGAUAAAAACAGCAUCUCACGUCUGAAUGGUACACACGAGUCUCCAAGAGAAUGUGUACGUGUGUUUCUGUGUGAUCCAGUAUUAAAAGGAUGUAGUCGGUGAUAGGCAUGAGGACAGUUACAGAGAAUAAAAACAAGACGCAGUAUUCAACGCGAGCACAACCAUCACGACGCCGGACUGUUCGGGACAAAGUUUGACAAGUCUGUCUGGCCGUCCUCCUCCUUCACCUUCUCCGGAGGUAAGGGGCCAUUGUGCCUGCUGAGCUUGUCCGACCCCGCACUGUCCCUGGGUGAGGUCGGACUGCCGGCCCCAGGCUUCGCCAGGCCUCUGGAGGUACUGAGUUUGUCUGUCGGGGACAAGCUGCGGCCGCGCGGCUUUUCCUGUGCGCCGUCUUCCUCAUCGGCGUCGUCAUCCUCAUCGCCACGCUCACCGUCGCCCCCGGCAACACGAGACUCUCUCUCCGAGGGCUUCUUGUUCUUCGACUCCUUGUCCCCCUCCUUUUCUUCUUCGUCUCCACGGUCGUCGUCGUGCUCUUCUUCGUCGUCGUCCGAGUCGAUGCGGUUCAGCCUCUUGCGGACGGGGCGGUCCUCCUCGGAGGACGAAUCAGAGUCCUGAGAGUCCCCCGAUCGGUCGGAGUCGUCGUCGGUGGACGGCCGACGUUUCUUCAGCAUCUGAGCGAGGCGCUGCUGCCUCCUCUUGGACAGAAUCUCCCUCCGCCUGCCCCUCCCCAUCUUCUCCUCCUCCUCCUCCUCCUCUUUGUUCCGCCUCUUCAUCCUCCUCUUCCUCCUCUCACGCUCCUCCUCCUCAGCCGCCGCCGCAAGCCUCCUCCUCUUCAGCCGCCUCCUCCUAUCCUCUUCGUCGUCGUCGUCGUCGUCGUCGUCGUCGUCGGCGCGUCUCUUCUUCGACCCCUGGCGGCUCUUCCUAGGCCGCUCCUCUUCCUCGCCUCGCCUCCUUUUCCUGCCUCCGCCACGCCGCCGCGGGCCCCCCCUCUCCUCACCUCCUCCUUCAGCGUCGUCCUCCUCAUCAGACCCCCGGGAGGACGCCGAUGCUAUUGCGGGGAAAAAAAAUUGAGCGAGAGAGAGACACAUGAACGUCACACAUUAUUUAAAACGUUCCCCUUUUUUCAAUUCUCCUUGCUUUAUUUUGUCGAUAGUUGUCGUCACGGUAACUCACAGUCACUGUAGUCGCUGGAGAGUCUCUGCCGGCGCGGCUUGAGGCGGGGCUUGUUCUCCUUGCUCUUAUUGGCCGAGGCCCCGGAGUUGUCCGACGACUCGGAGGUCUCGCGGUAGUUGACCUGCUGCCGCUGGCCGCGCCUCAGGCCCUUCCUCUUUCUGUCCGCCUCGCUGUCACUCAUGUCAGAGGACCAAUCGAGUCUAGAGACCCAGAGAUGGAAGGCGAUGAGUUACCACUGUACUGCUGCAUGGGCUUGUGUGAUGAAACGAUUGUGGUGCGCAACCUAACUCUGGUGUACCCUUGAGUUGAUGCUGACCACCCUCCCUCUCUCCCCCCUCCCCUCUGACUCGCUCAACUCCUCUUCGGUCUCUCCCUCCUCGUCCUCUUGACUCCCCAUCUCCCCCUUCCCCUCCUGAUUUGGCUUUUGCGCACUCAUCCACGCUCAUCCAUCUCCCCCUUCUGACACAACC
ensembl:lncRNA